AUUGAACGCUAGCGGGAUGCCUUACACAUGCAAGUCGAACGGAGUGGCGAACGGGUGAGUAAUGUAUCGGAACGUGCCCAGUCGCGGGGGAUAACUACGCGAACGCGUAGCUAAUACCGCAUACUAUCGGCGUGGCCGAUAUCGGGUUAGAUUGUUGGUGGGGUAACGGAUCACCAAGGCGACGAUCCGUAGCUGGUUUGAGAGGACGACCAGCCACACUAGGAUUGAGACGAGGCCCAGACUCCUACGGGAGGCAGCAGUGGGGAAUUUUGGACAAGGGGGGAAACCCUGGUCCAGCCAUGCCGCGUAGAUGAAGAAGGCCAUCGGGUUGUAAAGUACUUUCAGCGAGGAGGCGUUACUCGCAGAAGAAGCACCGGCUAACUCCGUGCCAGCAGCCGCGGUAAUAC
rnacentral:rRNA from 1 species